GAUCAUGGCUCAGGAUGAACGCUGGCGGCGUGCUUAACACAUGCAAGUCGAACGAAGCGCUUUAUUCAGAAUCUUUCGGGAUGACGAAUUUAGUGACUUAGUGGCGGACGGGUGAGUAACGCGUGGGUAACCUGCCUUACACAGGGGGAUAACAGUUAGAAAUGACUGCUAAUACCGCAUAAAACNGCAGCACCGCAUGGUGCAACUGUCAAAGAUUUAUCGGUGUAAGAUGGACCCG
rnacentral:rRNA from 1 species